rnacentral:rRNA from 1 species
AAUCAACGCUGGCGGCGUGCCUAACACAUGCAAGUCGAGCGAGAAAGGGUAGCAAUACCUGAGUAAAGCGGCGCACGGGUGAGUAACACGUGGGUAAUCUGCCCUCGAGUGGGGAAUAACACCGGGAAACCGGUGCUAAUACCGCAUACGAUCACGGUGUCUUCGGAUGUUGUGAUGAAAGGAGCAAUUCGCUCUUGGAGGAGCCCGCGGCUGAUUAGCUAGUUGGUGAGGUAAUGGCUCACCAAGGCAACGAUCAGUAGCCGGUCUGAG